UAUCAAAACAGGUGUACUUGAACUGUUCUUCUUUUUCUUUUUCCCAAAUCCUAAUGUUGCUUGAGUUUUUUUGCAUCUUUUACUUGUACUGUAGCAUUUCUUGGAUUUCAGGUUAGGAGGAUCGAUUGACAUGAAAAAGUCUACCUAUAUGUUUUCACUUAUUUCAACUAAGUGAGCUUGGCAGAGAGGGCAAAGUGCAAAGCACAUCCAAUAGUUGUUCUAAGACGGUCAUUCAAACUACGACUUCUAGCAUUGCAAGAAGUAACAUGACAACACUAAAGUUGAACGAGUUAUUCAAUUAAUAUAUAAACAUGUUCUCUUCAAAUCAACAGAAAAGUGAAAGUGUAAUUCAUUGUCGAGCUUAAUUUAUUUUCUCUAUAAUUAAUGUGUACUUUUUAUAAUACACAUACAAAUUGUACAAGUAAGGAGGAUGUACUAGCUUUCUUGAAAGAAGCAGAAAUUGACUAAGCCAAGAAACUUUGUGAAGACAAUAGAGAAACUAUAUGAUAAAAUC